rfam:Synechococcus sp. RCC307 genomic DNA sequence.
UUCGCCCUAACCCGGCGAUCUGCUAAACACUUCGCGCGCAGGUCCGGCUGCUGACCGGGCCCUUCCCUGCUCCCAGGGUUGUCCCAGGCGCU